GAUGAACGCUGGCGGCGUGCCUAAUACAUGCAAGUCGAGCGAACAGACGAGGAGCUUGUUCCUUUGACGUUAGCGGCGGACGGGUGUGUAACACGUGUAUAACCUACCUAUAAUUCUGGGAUAACUACGGAAAUCCGGAGCUAAUACCGGAUAAUAUAUUGAACCGCAGGGUGCAAUGGUGAAUGUCGGCUUUGCUGUCUCUUCUAGAUGGAUCCGCGCCGCAUUAGCUAGUUGGUAAGGUAACGGCUUACCAAGGCGACGAUGCGUAGCCGACCUGAGAGGGUGAUCGGCCACACUGGAACUGAGCCACGGUCCAGACUCCUACGGGAGGCAGCAGUAGGGAAUCUUCCGCAAUGGGCGAAAGCCUGACGGAGCAACGCCGCGUGAGUGAUGAAGGUCUUCGGAUCGUAAAGCUCUGUUAUUAGGGAAGAACAAAUGUGUAAGUAACUAUGCACGUCUUGACGGUACCUAAUCAGAAAGCCACGGCUAACUACGUG
rnacentral:rRNA from 1 species